GAUGAACGCUGGCGGCGUGCCUAAUACAUGCAAGUCGAGCGAACGGACGAGAAGCUUGCUUCUCUGAUGUUAGCGGCGGACGGGUGAGUAACACGUGGAUAACCUACCUAUAAGACUGGGAUAACUUCGGGAAACCGGAGCUAAUACCGGAUAAUAUUUUGAACCGCAUGGUUCAAAAGUGAAAGACGGUCUUGCUGUCACUUAUAGAUGGAUCCGCGCUGCAUUAGCUAGUUGGUAAGGUAACGGCUUACCAAGGCAACGAUGCAUAGCCGACCUGAGAGGGUGAUCGGCCACACUGGAACUGAGACACGGUCCAGACUCCUACGGGAGGCAGCGGUAGGGAAUCUUCCGCAAUGGGCGAAAGCCUGACGGAGCAACGCCGCGUGAGUGAUGAAGGUCUUCGGGUCGUAAAACUCUGUUAUUAGGGAAGAACAUAUGUGUAAGUAACUGUGCACAUCUUGACGGUACCUAAUCAGAAAGCCACGGCUAACUACGUGCCAGCAGCCGCGGUAAUACGUAGGUGGCAAGCGUUAUCCGGAAUUAUUGGGCGUAAAGCGCGCGUAGGCGGUUUUUUAAGUCUGAUGUGAAAGCCCACGGCUCAACCGUGGAGGGUCAUUGGAAACUGGAAAACUUGAGUGCAGAAGAGGAAAGUGGAAUUCCAUGUGUAGCGGUGAAAUGCGCAGAGGUAUGGAGGAACACCAGUGGCGAAGGCGACUUUCUGGUCUGUAACUGACGCUGAUGUGCGAAAGCGUGGGGAUCAAACAGGAUUAGAUACCCUGGUAGUCCACGCCGUAAACGAUGAGUGCUAAGUGUUAGGGGGUUUCCGCCCCUUAGUGCUGCAGCUAACGCAUUAAGCACUCCGCCUGGGGAGUACGACCGCAAGGUUGAAACUCAAAGGAAUUGACGGGGACCCGCACAAGCGGUGGAGCAUGUGGUUUAAUUCGAAGCAACGCGAAGAACCUUACCAAAUCUUGACAUCCUUUGACAACUCUAGAGAUAGAGCCUUCCCCUUCGGGGGGGCAAAGUGACAGGUGGUGCAUGGUUGUCGUCAGCUCGUGUCGUGAGAUGUUGGGUUAAGUCCCGCAACGAGCGCAACCCUUAAGCUUAGUUGCCAUCAUUAAGUUGGGCACUCUAAGUUGACUGCCGGUGACAAACCGGAGGAAGGUGGGGAUGACGUCAAAUCAUCAUGCCCCUUAUGAUUUGGGCUACACACGUGCUACAAUGGACAAUACAAAGGGCAGCGAAACCGCGAGGUCAAGCAAAUCCCAUAAAGUUGUUCUCAGUUCGGAUUGUAGUCUGCAACUCGACUACAUGAAGCUGGAAUCGCUAGUAAUCGUAGAUCAGCAUGCUACGGUGAAUACGUUCCCGGGUCU
rnacentral:rRNA from 1 species